rnacentral:rRNA from 1 species
UGGGGAAUUUUGGACAAUGGGCGAAAGCCUGAUCCAGCAAUGCCGCGUGCAGGAAGAAGGCCUUCGGGUUGUAAACUGCUUUUGUACGGAACGAAAAGGCUCUUUCUAAUAAAGGGGGUCCAUGACGGUACCGUAAGAAUAAGCACCGGCUAACUACGUGCCAGCAGCCGCGGUAAUACGUAGGGUGCAAGCGUUAAUCGGAAUUACUGGGCGUAAAGCGUGCGCAGGCGGUUAUAUAAGACAGAUGUGAAAUCCCCGGGCUCAACCUGGGAACUGCAUUUGUGACUGUAUAGCUAGAGUACGGUAGAGGGGGAUGGAAUUCCGCGUGUAGCAGUGAAAUGCGUAGAUAUGCGGAGGAACACCGAUGGCGAAGGCAAUCCCCUGGACCUGUACUGACGCUCAUGCACGAAAGCGUGGGGAGCAAACAGGAUUAGAUACCCACGUAGUCCCUGAGCGGGCUGGCAAGGCGCAU